rnacentral:rRNA from 1 species
UACGUAGGCAGCGAGCGUUGUUCGGAGUUACUGGGCGUAAAGGGUGUGUAGGCGGUUCUCUAAGUUUGGUGUGAAAUCUCCCGGCUCAACCGGGAGGGUGCGCCGAAAACUGGAGGGCUAGAGUGCGGGAAGGGAGAGUGGAAUUCCCGGUGUAGCGGUGAAAUGCGCAGAUAUCGGGAAGAACACCCGUGGCGAAGGCGGCUCUCUGGGACGGUACUGACGCUGAGACGCGAAAGCGUGGGGAGCGAACAGG